rnacentral:rRNA from 1 species
AAUUUGAAAGGAGCUGUCCUUAGUACGAGAGGACCGGGAUGGACACACCGCUGGUGUACCAGUUGUUCCGCCAGGAGCAUCGCUGGGUAGCUACGUGUGGUCGGGAUAAGUGCUGAAAGCAUCUAAGCAUGAAGCCCCCCUUGAGAUGAGAUUUCCCCUUACGCCAAGUAAGUAAGAUCCCUCAGAGACGAUGAGGUUGAUAGGUCCGAGGUGGAAGCGUGGUGACACGUGGAGCUGACGGAUACUAAUGGAUCGAUGACUUAUCUA